AACAAAAUCGAAAUUCAUGGUCUUAUAUAGAAUUUUAAAAUAUUUUAUAAUAAAUCACAUCAAUUUUCCUAAAAUCAUCAAACUCAUAUAAAAACUAGCUAAAACUCAAAUUGUAAGGUCCAAAUUAAUGAGUCAACUCAACUCAACUCAACUCAAUCCAUGAACCCUAAUGAGUUGAAAAUUUUGACUCAAAUGAGUUGAUGAGUCAAAUGAGUUGAUGAGUCAAUUGGUUUGAUGAGUAAAAUGAGUUGGGUUGUAAUGGUUAAUGGUUUCAAUGGUUUAUCCAAUUAACCCAUCAAAUUUUGUAAAAUUGAAUUAAACCAACUAAAAUCUCUAAACCAAUGCCAAUUUAAGUCUAACCAACACAUCUAAACCAAUUUAAUAAAAUUAAUAUUUUUCCAAAUUUCUUAAAUAUACAAGCGAUGAAAUUGAGAAAAAGUAAACCCGUAAUUUUUCCGCCAAAAACGUAAAUCCGUGAUUUUCCCGCCAAAAACGUAAAUCCAUGAUUUUCCCGCCAAAAACGUAAACCCGAGAUUUUCCCGCCAAAAACGUAAACCCGUAAAAAGUGGAAUCCGUAAAUAUAUUAAGUUUUGAUGAUAAUGAAUUAAUAAUGAUAAUUAUUUAUUAUUAUUUUAUAAUAAUAAUUAAUUAAAUUAUUACUUAAAUGGGUUAACCCAUUUAACAACUCAACCCAUUAAAUUAAAUGAGUUAUGGGUUGACUUAACCCAUUUAACAAAAUGAGUUGGAUCAACCCAUAACUCAUUUAACCCUAAACUCAUUUGAUUAUGAGUUGAGUUGAGUUGUGUUACCCAUUUUGACACACUUAGAUCUAAUACACCUCUUUAUUAAUUUUAAAGGAUUUGAGAAAAUUUAAAAAGAUUUAUUUAGUUACAUAUAU
rnacentral:sRNA from 1 species